rnacentral:rRNA from 1 species
AAUAGAUACCCUGGUAGUCCACGCCGUAAACGAUGAGUGCUAGGUGUUGGGGGCAUCAGGCCCUCUGUGCCGAAGGAAACCCAAUAAGCACUCCGCCUGGGGAGUACGGCCGUAAGGCUGAAACUCAAAGGAAUUGACGGGGGCCCGCACAAGCGGUGGAGCAUGUGGUUUAAUUCGAAGCAACGCGAAGAACCUUACCAGGGCUUGACAUCCCGCCGACCGGUGCAGAGAUGCGCCUUCCCUUCGGGGCGGCGGUGACAGGUGGUGCAUGGUUGUCGUCAGCUCGUGUCGUGAGAUGUUGGGUUCAGUCCCGCAACGAGCGCAACCCUUGCCCUUAGUUGCCAGCGGGUAAAGCCGGGCACUCUGGGGGGACAGCCGGUGAAAGCCGGAGGAAGGUGGGGAUGACGUCAAAUCAUCAUGCCCCUUAUGUCCUGGGCUACACACGUGCUACAAUGGCCGGUACAAUGGGCCGCGAACCCGCGAGGGGGAGCCAAUCCCCAAAAACCGGUCUCAGUUCGGAUCGCAGGCUGCAACUCGCCUG